UACAGAGGUCUCAAGCGUUGUUCGGAAUUACUGGGCGUAAAGGGUGCGCAGGCCGCGCGGACAGUCAAAUGUGAAAUUCAGGGGCUCAACCCCUGCAUUGCGCUUGAUACUUCCGCGCUCGAGCCUUGGAAAGGAGUCUGGAAUUCUCGGUGUAGCAGUGAAGUGCGUAGAUAUCGAGAGGAACACUAAGGGCGAAGGCAAGACUCUGGACAAGUGCUGACGCUCAUGCACGAAGGCUAGGGUAGCGAACGGG
rnacentral:rRNA from 1 species